rnacentral:rRNA from 1 species
UGCUUACAACAUAAUGUUAAUGCAUUGGAUCCCAUUAGAACUCCACAUUUAAGUACGCUUGAGCUAGAGUAGUACCGGGAUGGGUGAUUGCACGGGAAGUCCUAGUAUUUAAAAUGC